UUUUUGGAGAGUUUGAUCCUGGCUCAGGACGAACGCUGGCGGCGUGCCUAAUACAUGCAAGUCGAGCGGACCAAUAGAAGCUUGCUUCUGUUGGUUAGCGGCGGACGGGUGAGUAACACGUGGGCAACCUGCCUGUAAGACUGAGAUAACUUCGGGAAACCGGAGCUAAUACCGGAUAAUUCACUCCCUCGCAUGAGGGGGUGUUGAAAGUCGGUUCACGCUGACACUUACAGAUGGGCCCGCGGCGCAUUAGCUAGUUGGUGAGGUAAUGGCUCACCAAGGCGACGAUGCGUAGCCGACCUGA
rnacentral:rRNA from 1 species